rnacentral:rRNA from 1 species
GUCGAACGGGAUUUAGUAAACAGAAGCCUCGGUGGAAGAUUACUACUGUGAGUGGCGAACGGGUGAGUAACGCGUGAGCAACCUGCCUAUGACAGUGGGAUAGCCUCGGGAAACCGGGAUUAAUACCGCAUAAAAUCGUAGAAACACAUGUUUUAACGGUCAAAGAUUUAUCGGUCAUAGAUGGGCUCGCGUCUGAUUAGCUAGUUGGUGAGAUAACAGCCCACCAAGGCGACGAUCAGUAGCCGGUCUGAGAGGAUGAACGGCCACAUUGGAACUGAGACACGGUCCAAACUCCUACGGGAGGCGGCAGUGGGGAAUAUUGCAUAAUGGGGGAAACCCUGAUGCAGCGACGCCGCGUGAACGAAGAAGGUAUUCGUAUCGUAAAGUUCUGUCCUAUGGGAAGAUAAUGACAGUACCAUAGAAGAAAGCUCCGGCUAAAUACGUGCCAGCAGCCGCGGUAAUACGUAUGGAGCGAGCGUUGUCCGGAAUUAUUGGGCGUAAAGGGUACGCAGGCGGUUUAAUAAGUCGAAUGUUAAAGAUCGGGGCUCAACCCCGCAAAGCAUUGGAAACUGAUAAACUUGAGUAGUGGAGAGGAAAGUGGAAUUCCUAGUGUAGUGGUGAAAUACGUAGAUAUUAGGAGGAAUACCAGUAGCGAAGGCGACUUUCUGGACACAAACUGACGCUGAGGUACGAAAGCGUG